GACGAACGCUGGCGGCGUGCUUAACACAUGCAAGUCGAACGAUGAUCAGGAGCUUGCUCCUGUGAUUAGUGGCGAACGGGUGAGUAACACGUGAGUAACCUGCCCCUGACUCUGGGAUAAGCGUUGGAAACGACGUCUAAUACUGGAUAUGAUCACUGGCCUCAUGGUCUGGUGGUGGAAAGAUUUUUUGGUUGGGGAUGGACUCGCGGCCUAUCAGCUUGUUGGUGAGGUAAUGGCUCACCAAGGCGACGACGGGUAGCCGGCCUGAGAGGGUGACCGGCCACACUGGGACUGAGACACGGCCCAGACUCCUACGGGAGGCAGCAGUGGGGAAUAUUGCACAAUGGGCGCAAGCCUGAUGCAGCAACGCCGCGUGAGGGAUGACGGCCUUCGGGUUGUAAACCUCUUUUAGUCGGGAAGAAGCGAAAGUGACGGUACCUGCAGAAAAAGCACCGGCUAACUACGUG
rnacentral:rRNA from 1 species